rnacentral:sRNA from 1 species
GGGAUCAUUGCUGGAACGCGCUUCGGCGCACCCAGAAACCCUUUGUGAACUUAUACCUAUUUGUUGCCUCGGCGUAGGCCGGCCUCUUCACUGAGGCCCCCUGGAGACAGGGAGCAGCCCGCCGGCGGCCAACUAAACUCUUGUUUCUAUAGUGAAUCUCUGAGUAAAAAACAUAAAUGAAUCAAAACUUUCAACAACGGAUCUCUUGGUUCUGGCAUCGAUGAAGAACGCAGCGAAAUGCGAUAAGUAAUGUGAAUUGCAGAAUUCAGUGAAUCAUCGAAUCUUUGAACGCACAUUGCGCCCUCUGGUAUUCCGGAGGGCAUGCCUGUUCGAGCGUCAUUUCAACCCUCAAGCCUGGCUUGGUGAUGGGGCACUGCCUUCUAGCGAGGGCAGGCCCUGAAAUCUAGUGGCGAGCUCGCUAGGACCCCGAGCGUAGUAGUUAUAUCUCGUUCUGGAAGGCCCUGGCGGUGCACUGCCGUUAAACCCCCAACUUCUGAAAAUUUGACCUCGGAUCAGGUAGGAAUACCCGCUGAACUUAAGCAUAUCAAUAAGCG